rnacentral:lncRNA from 10 species
CCACAUCCCUUAUACUAAAAACCCCAAUAGCACCUUCCCCAAUUGCACCACAUCCCUUACACUAAAAACCCCAAUAGCACCUUCCCCAAUUGCACCACAUCCCUUACACAAAAAGCAAAAACUUCUGAUCAAAAUGUUGUAGAGCCUGAAAGGUCAAAAGAAGGAUCUCAAAGACUCCACCACCAAACAAUGAAGCAAUCACUGUAGCCUUGUGCCCCCAGCCCAGAGCCUCACAUUCAGAGAAGUAAGUAUUAAUACCUUCAAGGAAGAACCAAAACACCCUUCUUUCUGUAAGCCCCAUGAGAAGCUCAUCCAGGCUGGUCCUGGGCAAAGCUGGAAGGGAGAGAACCUAAAGAUCUGGCCCAUCUGUCCUUCACUGCCGGCUUCCCUGCAGUCCUUUUCCAGAAACCACACCCCACAUUCUCAGCCUAUCAACAGCGUCCUGGUGACCAGGUACAUUCUCAUUCUAUCAUGAGAUUGCUGAAAACUAAAGAAGGCAUCAAGACCCCCACAUGAAUUUCUACUGAUACAAUUUCAGACCUGUGCAGGAAAAUAUUUAAGACAGAAAACGCUUUCUCGAGAGGGUGCCUUCAAAGUUCCCGGAGCUCUUGUCCCUCAGCUGACUCUCACAAACCUGAAACCAAGUGACCCGGCAGCUGCGGGCUCCUCCAUUGACUCAGGCUUCAUCAGAGAGCACCAUAAGUGCCGUAUCUCCUGCUUCAGACCACCUGAGGACCAUUCUACCUGUAUUAUUCAUCUGCUAGGGCUGCCAUAACAGAAUAUCACAAUCCUAGCACAUAAAAUAUGGAAGAGGUCCUCCACAAUGGAGAAAACUAUUGGGGAUAUGCCUUCUGGAGUUUGAUCAAGGAAGAUGGACACAAACAGAAAAGAAAAACAGUCCAGAGGAAGCUGAAGGGUCUCCUACAUUGCACCAGAUGCUGCAGAUGGGGAGGACCAUUCCACUGGAUGCAUUCGGGACUGUAAACAGCAGACUGUGAGUGCGGCAGGCAGGGAUCACCCAGGCUUGACAACUCAACAGAGUUGGCUCCACAUUUGCCUUCCACU